rnacentral:ncRNA from 1 species
AAAUAGAGGUGCAGUUUUCAAGAGUAUUUUGUUUGAGGUUGCCAAAACCAAUGAAAACAUUUGAAAGGGAAAUCUGCCGAAGAGGAUACUUGGCAAACAUCUUCUGGGUGCAACGGCGAAAGCCUUGCAACUGUCAUCAUCAUAAUGAUGGAGUGCUAUUCG